AACGAACGCUGGCGGCAGGCUUAACACAUGCAAGUCGAGCGCCCCGCAAGGGGAGCGGCAGACGGGUGAGUAACGCGUGGGAACGUACCUUUUGGUUCGGAACAACUCCGGGAAACUGGAGCUAAUACCGGAUAAGCCCUAACGGGGAAAGAUUUAUCGCCGAAAGAUCGGCCCGCGUCUGAUUAGCUAGUUGGUGAGGUAACGGCUCACCAAGGCGACGAUCAGUAGCUGGUCUGAGAGGAUGAUCAGCCACACUGGGACUGAGACACGGCCCAGACUCCUACGGGAGGCAGCAGUGGGGAAUAUUGGAAAAUGGGCGCAAGCCUGAUCCAGCCAUGCCGCGUGAGUGAUGAAGGCCUUAGGGUUGUAAAGCUCUUUUGUCCGGGAAGAUAAUGACUGUACCGGAAGAAUAAGCCCCGGCUAACUUCGUG
rnacentral:rRNA from 1 species